UACGUAGGGGGCAAGCGUUGUCCGGAAUCAUUGGGCGUAAAGAGCGUGUAGGCGGCUCGGUAAGUCCGCUGUGAAAGUCCAGGGCUCAACCCUGGAAUGCCGGUGGAUACUGUCGGGCUAGAGUCCGGAAGAGGCGAGUGGAACUCCUGGUGUAGCGGUGAAAUGCGCAGAUAUCAGGAGGAACACCGGUGGCGAAGGCGGGUCUCUGGGCCGAUACUGACGCUGAGGAGCGAAAGCGUGGGGAGCGAACAGG
rnacentral:rRNA from 1 species